UUGUCGUCGUUGUCGUUGUUGUCGUCGUUGUCGUCGUUGUUGUCGUCGUUGUGGUUGUUUUUGUUGUUGUUGUUCUUGUUGUUGUCAUUGCUGGCGCUUUUGUUGUUCUUGUCGCUGUUCUCGUUGUUGUUGUUGUUGUUGUUGUCGUCGUCGUCGUUGUUGUUGUUGUAAUUAUUCUCGUCAUUUUCGUUCUUUACAUCAUUGUUGUUGUCGUGUCGUCGUCGUCGUCGUCGUUGUUUUUGUUGUUGUUGUUUUUAUUGUUGUCGUUGUUGUUGUCGUUGUUGUAGUAGUUGCUGUCGUCAUCGUCUUUGUGGCUGUCGUUGUCGUCGUCGUCAUCGUUAUCGUCCUCGUCGUUGUUGUCGUCGUCGUUGUCCUUGUUGUUAUUGCUGUUGUUGUUGUUGUUGUUGUUGUUGUUGUUGUGUUCGUCGUCAUCGUCGUCAUCAUUAUUGUUGUCGUCGACAUUGUCAUCUUCGUUGUUGCUGUUGUUGUUGUUGUUGUUGUUGUCGUUAUUGUUGUCGUCGUUGUUGUU
rnacentral:lncRNA from 1 species